rnacentral:ribozyme from 1 species
UGCCCAGCAACUCCUAUCCCUACCUCCACGCGGUACCGGCCGGAAACUAUGAGCAACCUUAGGGAAGAUCGGGUAACCAACCCCGGUGGGAACUUUGGUCGUAGGCUGACAGGAAAAAGG